rnacentral:rRNA from 1 species
UAGGGAAUCUUCGGCAAUGGGGGGAACCCUGACCGAGCAACGCCGCGUGAGUGAAGAAGGUUUUCGGAUCGUAAAGCUCUGUUGUUAAGGAAGAACGAGUGUGAGAAUGGAAAGUUCAUGCUGUGACGGUACUUAACCAGACAGGGACGGCUAACUACGUGCCAGCAGCCGCGGUAAUACGUAGGUCCCGAGCGUUGUCCGGAUUUAUUGGGCGUAAAGCGAGCCCAGGCGGUUAGAAAAGUCUGAAGUGAAAGGCAGUGGCUCAACCAUUGUAGGCUUUAGAAACUGUUUAACUUGAGUGCAGAAGGGGAGAGUGGAAUUCCAUGUGUAGCGGUGAAAUGCGUAGAUAUAUGGAGGAACACCGGUGGCGAAAGCGGCUCUCUGGUCUGUAACUGACGCUGAGGCUCGAAAGCGUGGGGAGCGAACAGG